rnacentral:sRNA from 1 species
AAUCCUAGCUACGGGGGCCGCGGAAGUCCAAUUGCAGCCGCCUAGCGGCAUGAGCGCCCUCGCGAGGCUGAGACGGGCGGAAGCAAGCUGUGGUGGCCACUGCUGUGGAGAAGCAGAACAGCUAAGAUCUGGGUUGGAGGGUGCGCCCGCUAGCUUCAGCUCAGAGUAGGCUGGAACAAGGCUUGGUCUAGUUUCACUGUUGCGGCUGCUGAGUCCGCCGCAGUGCGAACCAGUCCUGGGACCAGCAGGCGAACUCUCCGAAGUCUAGGAUUCGAUCUGUUUCUUUUCGAGAAUGUCAGGACAAGCAAAAAUCAUCAAAGAAAGCAUGGUGAACCGAAGAAAACGCAAUGAAGACCAGCCUCGGCGAAGCACAAGACCAGCAUAGAGAGCCAGUAUCCGAGCAUUGUUCAUGGUCUGUUGGGUUAUACUUACAAUCUGUCCAAACAUCACAUACCCUUUCAUCAGACAGCGUCCAGAAAAACACCAUGUGUCUGCUUCAGCAAAACAUCCUGUCAUAAGACAGCGUCCAGAAAAACACAAGACACAACUGAGUCUCCAAGGAAACCAGAAAUCCCCACUUCGAGGAGUGACAUUAUUAGGAAGUGUAGCCUUAUUGGAGGAAGUAUGUCCUGUGGGUGGGCUUCGAGAUGGCGCAUGCUCAAACCAGGCCCAGUGUUUUACUCUUUUUCCCUGCUGCCUGCCAAUUCAGAUGUAGAACUCUCAGCUCCUCUCCAGUACCAUGUCCGCCUGGAUGCUGCCAUCUUUCUCAGUGUGAUGAGAAUGGACUAAACCUCUUAAGCUGUAAGCAGCCCCAAUUAAAUGUUUUACUUU